GAUGUGGAUGGACUCUGCCUAGACCUUGGCCGUCUCCCCUGUCUUCCUCCUCUUUCGGUUGGCGGAGGUUUGUGGAUGAACCAUCCGAGUUGGUCAGUAGCUUCUACCGAAGGACAUCAUGCUCAGACCUCCCAAGCAUCAGAUGGAAACACUACAUGGACAGUAGGAAUAUUGCAAUGAAGUCGAUUGUUUGAAGAUGAUGGUGGAGCUCUAAACACUAUGCGUGCAAAUCUGAUGAAGAAUCUCACGGAAGAGUUUCAUGAAGGAGAACAAGGCAACAAUCACAUGAUUGAAAACUUGAUUGGUUAAUUAGGACAUGGUUAAUUAUUUCUGCAUCUUUCUUUCUUGAAAGGUGUAAUUUUUGCAGUGUUCAAAGUCAAACCGAACUGGUAAAUGCAUGCUUGUCUUGAAAGUCACAUACUCAAGUAUUGUAU